CCUACGGGAGGCAGCAGUGAGGAAUAUUGGUCAAUGGCCGAGAGGCUGAACCAGCCAAGUCGCGUGAGGGAAGACGGCCCUACGGGUUGUAAACCUCUUUUGUCGGGGAGCAAAGCGAACCACGUGUGGUUCAUUGAGAGUACCCGAAGACAAAGCAUCGGGUAACUCCGUGCCAGCAGCCGCGGUAAUAAGGAGGAUGCGAGCGUUAUCCGGAUUUAUUGGGUUUAAAGGGUGCGCAGGCGGAGGUGCAAGUCAGCGGUCAAAUUGCGGGGCUCAACCCCGUACUGCCGUUGAAACUGCAUCCCUUGAGUGCGCGAGAAGUAUGCGGAAUGCGUGGUGUAGCGGUGAAAUGCAUAGAUAGCACGCAGAACUCCGAUUGCGAAGGCAGCAUACCGGCGCGCAACUGACGCUCAUGCACGAAAGCGUGGGUAUCGAACAGGAUUAGAUACCCGGGUAGUC
rnacentral:rRNA from 1 species